rnacentral:rRNA from 1 species
GAUGAACGCUGGCGGCGUGCCUAAUACAUGCAAGUCGAGCGAACGGACGAGAAGCUUGCUUCUCUGAUGUUAGCGGCGGACGGGUGAGUAACACGUGGAUAACCUACCUAUAAGACUGGGAUAACUUCGGGAAACCGGAGCUAAUACCGGAUAAUAUUUUGAACCGCAUGGUUCAAAAGUGAAAGACGGUCUUGCUGUCACUUAUAGAUGGAUCCGCGCUGCAUUAGCUAGUUGGUAAGGUAACGGCUUACCAAGGCAACGAUGCAUAGCCGACCUGAGAGGGUGAUCGGCCACACUGGAACUGAGACACGGUCCAGACUCCUACGGGAGGCAGCAGUAGGGAAUCUUCCGCAAUGGGCGAAAGCCUGACGGAGCAACGCCGCGUGAGUGAUGAAGGUCUUCGGAUCGUAAAACUCUGUUAUUAGGGAAGAACAUAUGUGUGAGUAACUGUGCACAUCUUGACGGUACCUAAUCAGAAAGCCACGGCUAACUACGUGCCAGCAGCCGCGGUAAUACGUAGGUGGCAAGCGUUAUCCGGAAUUAUUGGGCGUAAAGCGCGCGUAGGCGGUUUUUUAGUCUGAUGUGAAAGCCCACGGCUCAACCGUGGAGGGUCAUUGGAAACUGGAAAACUUGAGUGCAGAAGAGGAAAGUGGAAUUCCAUGUGUAGCGGUGAAAUGCGCAGAGAUAUGGAGGAACACCAGUGGCGAAGGCGACUUUCUGGUCUGUAACUGACGCUGAUGUGCGAAAGCGUGGGGAUCAAACAGGAUUAGAUACCCUGGUAGUCCACGCCGUAAACGAUGAGUGCUAAGUGUUAGGGGGUUUCCGCCCCUUAGUGCUGCAGCUAACGCAUUAAGCACUCCGCCUGGGGAGUACGACCGCAAGGUUGAAACUCAAAGGAAUUGACGGGGACCCGCACAAGCGGUGGAGCAUGUGGUUUAAUUCGAAGCAACGCGAAGAACCUUACCAAAUCUUGACAUCCUUUGACAACUCUAGAGAUAGAGCUUUCCCCUUCGGGGGACAAAGUGACAGGUGGUGCAUGGUUGUCGUCAGCUCGUGUCGUGAGAUGUUGGGUUAAGUCCCGCAACGAGCGCAACCCUUAAGCUUAGUUGCCAUCAUUAAGUUGGGCACUCUAAGUUGACUGCCGGUGACAAACCGGAGGAAGGUGGGGAUGACGUCAAAUCAUCAUGCCCCUUAUGAUUUGGGCUACACACGUGCUACAAUGGACAAUACAAAGGGCAGCGAAACCGUGAGGUCAAGCAAAUCCCAUAAAGUUGUUCUCAGUUCGGAUUGUAGUCUGCAACUCGACUACAUGAAGCUGGAAUCGCUAGUAAUCGUAGAUCAGCAUGCUACGGUGAAUACGUUCCCGGGUCU